rnacentral:lncRNA from 1 species
GGGUCAAUGUUGGAAAAUUUAUGAUGGGCCCAAAUAGUAAGAGGACACAUGGCCUAGGGUUUUCUUUUAGGGUGGACCUCACCCCUAUUUUUGAGACACACGACCUUAAAAGCUUCCAGUUGUCACACACUUUUUUUUGGUUUGGCUUUAAACUUUUUUUUUUCGAGGAAGCUUAUCUGGGAACCAUGUUUAUUCUAUUGGAUUAUGGAUGAAUGAGAAUGGAGAGCUCACAGCCUUAGGAUGCUACCAGCCGCUACUUAUUUAUUUUUUUUACUUCAUUUUUUUCCUUUGAACGUGUUUUCUUGGAGAAACGAUGAGCUUUUGAAUGGAUUUCUUUUUCACACUGCUUUGCUUUUGUUGAAUGAACUAGCAUUUUUUUUCCUUUUAUUUUGAGAAUGAAGCGCUACGUUAUGGGAUUAUUAGAAGCUUUCAUUUUCUUUGGAAUAGACGUUUUCAAUUUUUAGAUAAGGCACAAAUUAUAUCCUGCAAUGGAGUUUUUCUGUCUUUUGGACGGUGACAACAGCUAUAUCCUAACUUCUUCAUUUUGCUUUUAAGAAAAUUGAUUAAAAUGUGAUUUAGAAGGGUGCAGCAAACUCACGGCUGAUGGAAGGGGUUGAAUUGAAGUGAUGUUUUUACUUUUCAAUAGGAAUAGGUGUAUAAGAGCUCACGUCUAGGGUGCACAAAUGUUCAUUUUGCUGAAG